rnacentral:rRNA from 1 species
UACGGGGGGAGCAAGCGUUGUUCGGAUUUACUGGGCGUAAAGGGCGCGUAGGCGGCCAGCGCAAGUCAGUUGUGAAAUCUCCGAGCUUAACUCGGAAAGGUCAACUGAUACUGCGCGGCUAGAGUGCAGAAGGGGCAACUGGAAUUCUCGGUGUAGCGGUGAAAUGCGUAGAUAUCUGGAGGAACACCGGUGGCGAAGGCGGCAUCCUGGACCAACACUGACACUGAGGAGCGAAAGCCAGGGGAGCAAACGGG